rnacentral:rRNA from 1 species
GACAGAGGUGCCAAGCGUUAGGCGGAAUCACUGGGCUUAAAGCGUGUGUAGGCGGAUUUGUAAGUACCUUGUGAAAUCCCACGGCUCAACCGUGGAACUGCUCGGUAUACUGCUUAUCUUGAGCCACUUAGGGGCUACCGGAACAAAUAGUGGAGCGGUGAAAUGCGUAGAUAUCAUUUGGAACGCCAAUGGUGAAAACAGGUAGCUGGGAGUGUGCUGACGCUGAGACACGAAAGCCAGGGGAGCGAACGGG